AUUAGACGCGGACAAGAGAUGGAACAUGCCACCAUAGCGUCAUCAGUCAUGUCCGAUAGGGCAAGGCACAGUCAUUCGCCAGCCAAAAUAGCAUUAGUUCACUAACUCGUGUGGGUUUUAUUGCAACUCCCCUAACUCUGCUUAGCCUGAUGAGUUGGUGUAACGGCCGAUGAUUUUUCUGGCGUCGGAGGGAGAUGAGCAAGGAAGAGGUCGUCUAGGACAAGGAACCAGCCUAUGCCGCUGUGAUUCUAGUCGAUGAAGAGGUUGUGGGGGAGUUGAUGAAGAGGAAUAGGGAUGAGGAUUGUGUGGUUCUUGACCUCGGUGUGACAUGUUCCAUGGGGCACCAGUUCUUAACUAUGCCUAGGCAAUUCCUGUAAGUUCCGAGUUUUGAAACGACAAGGUCCUUUCAAGCCUUGUUGGUUGCGUCACUUCCAGUCUUGUUUCAGGUUUCAAGUUUAUUCCUAAGCUGAGACUCAUAAGGAUCAAAUGCUUAUCCGCGAGACCGGCAUAUUCAAUAUUCAGUGCUUCAUUGUCUUCUGGUGCUGCCACAGUACCUGGAUACAUUUGAUCCUAUGAUCGGCUCAGUCUGGUAGGCGCCUCCAGCACUGGCAACGUAUCUGGGUACCUUAUCCACAUGAAAUGAAGUCUUGAUUCGAUUUGA